AAGUUUAGAAGAAAUAUUCCUGACUUUGUAAAAGCAGGAGCACCUAAGAAGGAGAAGUAACCCCAUCUGAAUGUUAACUGUGCUGCUGCAAAUCUGUAAGACAUCCUGAAGCUAGGAAGAUUGCAUUGAAGAGUGUUUUUCCAGAAAUGAGCAACCAA